rnacentral:rRNA from 1 species
UGGGGAAUAUUGCACAAUGGGCGAAAGCCUGAUGCAGGGACGCCGCGUGAGGGAUGACGGCCUUCGGGUUGUAAACCUCUUUCAGCAGGGAAGAAGCGCAAGUGACGGUACCUGCAGAAGAAGCACCGGCUAACUACGUG